rnacentral:lncRNA from 1 species
AUCGAGUUGCAUAUAGAGUAGAAUGCUCACAUUAUUGAAAGGUAGAGUCCUUAGGGUUAUUUUAUUUAUGAAGCAGACUCAGUUUAGCAAGGGCUAAGCUGAGAUGAAUGGAGUUAAGACUGAGAUAAUAACCUGACUAGGGAUAGGAUGCAUCAUGUUUUAUAUUCUUCCGUGUUGAUUUGGUUGAGUGCAGGUUCCCGUUAUCUUUAAUGAUAGUUUAAUAGCAAGAGUCUGAACUAUCUGGAUAAUGGUUUGAUUUAUUUGUUUAGUAUUGAUAUUAUUGUUUAGUUGUUAGUACUAAGGUCUUAGGCCAUAUAGGCCGGACUAUUGGUACUAUUGGUUUGUGUUGUAGAGUCGAGUGUCUGGUUAGUGUCUAGAACUUUAUCAUUACGUUAGGUUCUAGAUUGAGUUUGUGUUGUGUGAGUGUGCUGACAGUAUGUGCGUAACCCGCCCAUACUAGGCUUGUUUGGGGUUGAUUAGUGUUUCCUCGCCCUCGUAUUCAGCGGGUUCAAGGAAACCCCUUAUUCGCUGGAUCGGGAAGACUCAGAGAGACGAGAUCAUGGCCUAUGGCUGAGUGAUUACACGACGGUGUAAUGUGGUAGUGACCCGAAGGACUGUGGGCUGUCGCGCGGUAACCCGAAGGACAGUGGGCCGCGGUCGGUUGAAGGUUCCUUCUUCUGGCCUUUGUGGUAGAAAGAUAGGAUAUUGCCGAUAGAGAGGAUGAACACUAAGUCACCAUUUCCCGGGGUAGUGUAUUGUGUUGUGUUAGAGUGUCGUAGGGGGUAUGGAACCCUCGAGUUAAUGUAGCACCGAUAUAUGGUGUUACGAGUUAGAUCGAGUCGUUGGUAGUUAGUAUAUUAUUAUUGUUGUGAUUUUCUUGCAGGUUCUGACAUUAAGUCCUAAGUCUGGUUUAGGUACCAGAUUAGGCAUGGUGUCUCUUUGAUAAUUGUGGAUUGGUUGUUGACUUGUUUUAAUGCAGGUUCCCGUUACUUGAAGCUAGAUCAUGGCAGGAGGCCAAGUCUAACUUAGUAACAGUUUGCUUAGCCUUAGCUUUUAUUGCAUGCUAGGGCUAGAUUGAUUGUUAUUUUGGGUUGUCUGGGUUAGAGUCUAGGUUGCAGGUAGAGGCCGCCAGCUCAUUGAGUAACAUUAGGUUACUCAUCCAACUCCAUUGUCCUUUUUGCAGGUCGCUUUAGGUAAGGAUGAUCGGAUAGCUUGGUGCUGGAUGUUAGGACCGCCGGUGUAGAUUUUCAUGCCUUUUGUAAACGGU